UCCUCUCCAGUUACCUAGCAACAGAAAAUUCCUUAAAUUUCCAUAAGAACUUUCUAAAAACAAUUUUAAAUUUCCACAAAUCACCUUAUGAAAGACUAAUUUGUAAUAAGCUAAAUCUGAAUUCUGAAAUUUUCAUAUGAUGCAUAACUCCACUUUUCAUUUUUCCAGGGCAAGCUCCAUGCUCAGGAAUAGUCAGCCAACACAUAUUGGACUCCAUGCUUACUACAAAAGAUGGCUGGAGCAGGGGCUUCUGCCAAGGACAUUUUGAUGUCUCAGAAAGAGAUGGACAGCAUGAUGGAAGGGCACAUGUGAAGUGGUACUACAUUGUGAAAAGACAGAAAGCCAGAGAGAUUCAGAGGUC
rnacentral:lncRNA from 1 species